rnacentral:rRNA from 1 species
ACAAACGCUGGCGGCGUGCGUAACACAUGCAAGUCGCGCGGGCUGAUCCUUCGGGGUCAGUCAGCGGCGGACGGGUGUGGAACACGUGAGUCACCAACCCCACAGUGGGGGAUACCCUGCGGAAACGCGGGUUAAUCCCGCAUACGGUCUCUGGGUGAGUCCAGAGAAGAAAGCAGCGAUGCGCUGUGGGACGGGCUCGCGCCCGAUUAGCUAGUUGGUAGGGUAACGGCCUACCAAGGCUGCGAUCGGUAGCUGGUCUGAGAGGAUGAUCAGCCACACUGGGAUUGAGAACGGCCCAGACUCCUACGGGGGGCAGCAGUGAGGAAUCUUCGUCAAUGGGGGCCACCCUGAACGAGCAACGCCGCGUGGAGGACGACGGUCUUCGGAUUGUAAACUCCUUUUCGCUGGGAAGAAUUCUGACGGUACCAGCGGAAGAAGUCUCGGCUAACUACGUGCCAGCAGCCGCGGUAAUACGUAGGAGACGAGCGUUGUCCGGAAUUAUUGGGCGUAAAGGGCGCGCAGGCGGCCUGUCGCGUGUCUGGUGAAAGCUCUCGGCUUAACCGGGAGAGGUCCAGGCAAACGGGCAGGCUUGAGCGUCGGAGAGGGGCAUGGAACUCCGGGUGGAGCGGUGAAAUGCGUAGAGAUCCGGAAGAACACCAAUGGCGAAGGCAGUGCCCUGGCCGACUGCUGACGCUCAGGCGCGAAAGCGUGGGGAGCAAACAGGAUUAGAUACCCUGGUAGUCCACGCCGUAAACGAUGUCUACUCGCUCGCGGCAGUUUCGACCCUGUCGUGGGUUCAGCUAACGCAGAAGUAGACCGCCUGGGGAGUACGGUCGCAAGAUUAAAACUCAAAGGAAUUGACGGGGACCCGCACAAGCAGCGGAGCGUGUGGUUUAAUUCGAUGCAACGCGAAGAACCUUACCAGGGCUUGACAUGUAUGCGCACCGGUCAGAGAUGGCCGUGCCCACAAGGGACGCAUACACAGGUGCUGCAUGGCUGUCGUCAGCUCGUGCCGUGAGGUGUUGGGUUAAGUCCCCUAACGAGCGCAACCCCUAGCGUUGGUUGUACUUCUCCAGCGCAACUGCCCGUCAGGGAGGAAGGAGGGGAUGACGUCAAGUCAGCACGGCCCUUACGUCCUGGGCGACACACACGCUACAAUGGCGGACACAACGGGCUGCAAAGCGGCAACGCGGAGCCAAUCCCACCAAAGUCCGCCCCAGUUCAGAUCGGGGGCUGCAACCCGCCCCCGUGAAGUCGGAGUUGCUAGUAAUCGUGGGUCAGCACACCACGAUGAAUACGUUCCCGGGUCUUGUACACACCGCCCGUCACACCAUGGAAGCCGGUGACACUUGAAGCCGUCCACGCGAACCAGGCAACUGGACGCAGGCGUCGAGGGUGGGAUCGGUGACUGGGGUG